GAUGAACGCUGGCGGCGUGCCUAAUACAUGCAAGUCGAGCGAACAGAUGAGUAGCUUGCUCCUCUGACGUUAGCGGCGGACGUGUGAGUUACACGUGGAUAACCUCCCUAUAAGACUGUGAUACCUUCGGGAAACCGUAGCUAAUACCUGCUAAUUUCUUUAACCACAUGGUUCCCUACUGAACUCCGGUUUUGCUGUCACUUAUAGAUUGAUCCGCUCCUCAUUAGCUAGUUGGUAGGGUAACGGCUUACCAAGGCAACGAUGAGUAGCCGACCUGAGAGGGUGAUCGGCCACACUGGAACUGAGACACGGCCCAGACUCCUACGGGAGGCAGCAGUAGGGAAUCUUGCGCAAUGGGCGAAAGCCUGACGGAGCAACGCCGCGUGAGUGAUGAAGGUCUUCGGAUCGUAAAACUCUGUUAUUAGGGAAGAACAAAUGUGUAAGUAAAUAGGCACGUCUUGACGGUACCUAAUCAGAAAGCCACGGCUAACUACGUG
rnacentral:rRNA from 1 species